rnacentral:rRNA from 1 species
UACAGAGGGUGCAAGCAUUAAUCGGAUUUAUUGGGCGUAAAGGGCGCGUAGGCGGACCUGUAAGUCAGAUGUGAAAUCCCGGGGCUCAACCCCGGAACAGCAUUUGAAACUACAGAUCUAGAGGGUAGAAGGAGAAAAUGGAAUUCCACGUGUAGCGGUGAAAUGCGUAGAUAUGUGGAAGAACACCGGUGGCGAAGGCGAUUUUCUAUUUUAUUCCUGACGCUGAGGCGCGAAAGCAAGAGGAUCAAAUAGG